GACGAACGCUGGCGGCGUGCUUAACACAUGCAAGUCGAACGGAAAGGCCUCUUUGGGGGUACUCGAGUGGCGAACGGGUGAGUAACACGUGAGUAACCUGCCCUUGACUUCGGGAUAACUUCAGGAAACUGGGGCUAAUACCGGAUAGGAAUCCUUGCUGCAUGGUGGGGGUUGGAAAGCUUCGGCGGUUUUGGAUGGACUCGCGGCUUAUCAGCUUGUUGGUGGGGUAGUGGCUUACCAAGGCUUUGACGGGUAGCCGGCCUGAGAGGGCGACCGGCCACAUUGGGACUGAGAUACGGCCCAGACUCCUACGGGAGGCAGCGGUGGGGAAUAUUGCACAAUGGGCGGAAGCCUGAUGCAGCAACGCCGCGUGCGGGAUGACGGCCUUCGGGUUGUAAACCGCUUUCAGCAGGGGCGAAGCUUGUGGUGACGGUACCUGCAGAAGAAGCACCGGCUAACUACGUG
rnacentral:rRNA from 1 species